rnacentral:lncRNA from 1 species
AUGGCCAUUCCACCAUUCUAUUAAUUCAGCUGCUUCAGGAUGAUGAGAAACAUGCUAAAACGAGUGGAUUCACAGAGUCCCUCCAGGGAUGCAAUAUUGUUUUUGAUUUACUACUUUUCUAGAUAGAGGAAGCUCUAAUGGCUUCCAUUUGGCCUUUCCCAGCAUAAUAGCUCUCACCCUACCAGUCACGAGCCAAUGUAGAGGUUCUGCCAUGUGCUGUCUGUAUCAGGAACCCUGAAGUUCUGUGCAGAGAGGGAGACAACCUGCCCUUCAUGUCUGCAGUGGGACCUGAGACUUCGCAUUUCUAAUAAGCUCUGGUUGAUGCAGAUGCUGUUGGCCUGGGGACCACACUUUGAGGAGCAGGGCUUUAAAGAUGUGAUUUCUUUGAAUAGGCUCGCCUCUGGACAAAACCUACAGUGUUAACUAUGUGGUCCAAUUGUGAACAACAGAAGACUUCAAACCACCAGAUGUACUAACUUCAGAU